rnacentral:rRNA from 1 species
AAUUAUUGGGCGUAAAGCGCGCGCAGGCGGUUUCUUAAGUUUGAUGUGAAAGCCCCCGGCUCAACCGGGGAGGGUCAUUGGAAACUGGGGAACUUGAGUGCAGAAGAGGAGAGUGGAAUUCCACGUGUAGCGGUGAAAUGCGUAGAGAUGUGGAGGAACACCAGUGGCGAAGGCGACUCUCUGGUCUGUAACUGACGCUGAGGCGCGAAAGCGUGGGGAGCGAACAGGAUUAGAUACCCUGGUAGUCCACGCCGUAAACGAUGAGUGCUAAGUGUUAGAGGGUUUCCGCCCUUUAGUGCUGCAGCAAACGCAUUAAGCACUCCGCCUGGGGAGUACGGUCGCAAGACUGAAACUCAAAGGAAUUGACGGGGGCCCGCACAAGCGGUGGAGCAUGUGGUUUAAUUCGAAGCAACGCGAAGAACCUUACCAGGUCUUGACAUCCUCUGACAACCCUAGAGAUAGGGCUUCCCCUUCGGGGGCAGAGUGACAGGUGGUGCA